CCCAACUAUCCCUAUUAAUCAUUACGUCAAUCCUAGAAACCAACAAAAUAGGAUCGAACGUCCUAUUUCAUUAUUCCAUGCUAAUGUAUUCAAGCGUUAGCCUGCUUUAAACACUCUAAUUUUUUCAAAGUAACAGUCCAGAUUCCCCGCAACACCAAAUUAAUGGCAUUACGGUUCAUCAGGAAGGAGGAAUCAGUGAGACCAGUACAUACCUGUGGCACGACCAACCUACUGACCCCGAAAUUCAACUA
rnacentral:rRNA from 1 species